AUUGAACGCUGGCGGCAUGCUUUACACAUGCAAGUCGAGCGGCAGCGCGGGGGCAACCCUGGCGGCGAGCGGCGAACGGGUGAGGAAUUCAUCGGAACGUACCCCGGAGUGGGGGAUAACGCCGCGAAAGCGGCGCUAAUACCGCAUAUGCUCUGUGGAGGAAAGUGGGGGACCCUGUAAGGGGCCUCACGCUCUGGGCGCGGCCGAUGUCCGAUUAGCUAGUUGGGGGGUAAUGGCUCACCAAGGCGACGAUCGGUAGCUGGUCUGAGAGGAUGAUCAGCCACACUGGGACUGAGACACGGCCCAGACUCCUACGGGAGGCAGCAGUGGGGAAUUUUGGACAAUGGGGGCAACCCUGAUCCAGCCAUGCCGCGUGCGGGAAGAAGGCC
rnacentral:rRNA from 1 species